rnacentral:SRP_RNA from 1 species
GCUGGGCAUAGUGGUGCAUACCUGUAGUCCUGGCUUCUUGGGAGGCUGAGGCUGGGAGGAUCACUUGAGCCCAGGAGUUCUGAGCUAUAGUGCACUAUGCUGAUUGGGUGUCUGCACUAAGUUAGGCAUCAUGUGAUGAACUCCCAGGUGCCGGGGACCAACCAAGUUUCCUAAGGAGAAGUGAACCAGUUCAGGUCGGAAACAGAGCAGGUCAGAACUCCCAUGCUGAUCAGUGUGGGAGUGAUCACACAUGUGAAUAGCCCCAGAACUCCCUCCUGGGCAACAAAGUGAGACCUUGUCUCU